CGCGUAGGCGGCUUGGCAAGUCAGAUGUGAAAGCCCCGGGCUUAACUCGGGAAUUGCAUCUGAAACUGCUUUGCUUGAGUCCUGGAUGGGAUAGUGGAAUUCCCAGUGUAGCGGUGAAAUGCGUAGAUAUUGGGAGGAACACCUGCGGCGAAGGCGGCUAUCUGGACAGUGACUGACGCUGAGGCGCGAAAGCUAGGGGAGCGAACGG
rnacentral:rRNA from 1 species